CGGCCCUGAAAGGCAGGCA
rnacentral:snRNA from 1 species